rnacentral:rRNA from 1 species
CAGCAGCCACGGUAAUACGAAGGGGGCUAGCGUUGUUCGGAAUUACUGGGCGUAAAGGGCGCGUAGGCGGACAGUUCAGUCGGGGGUGAAAGCCCGGGGCUCAACCUCGGAAUUGCCUUCGAUACUGGCUGUCUUGAGUAUGAGAGAGGUGUGUGGAACUCCGAGUGUAGAGGUGAAAUUCGUAGAUAUUCGGAAGAACACCAGUGGCGAAGGCGACACACUAGCUCAUUACUGACGCUGAGGCGCGAAAGCGUGGGGAGCAAACAGGAUUAGAUACCCCAGGUGUCCCUGUCUCUUAUAA